rnacentral:rRNA from 1 species
GACGAACCGUCCAAACGUUAUUCGGAAUCACCGGGCUUACAGAGUUCGUAGGCGGUCUGGAAAGUUGGGUGUGAAAUCCCUCGGCCUAACCGAGGAACUGCGCUUGAAACUACCAGACUCGAGGGAGAUAGAGGAAAGCGGAACUGAUGGUGGAGCGGUGAAAUGCGUUGAUAUCAUCAGGAACACCGGUGGCGAAGGCGGCUUUCUGGGUCUUACCUGACGCUGAGGAACGAAAGCCAGGGGAGCGAACGGG